CGGUGGAGCAUGUGGUUUAAUUCGAAGCAACGCGAAGAACCUUACCUGGGCUUGACAUGCACGGGAAAGCCGGUGGAAACACGUCCUCCGGACAGGUGUGACGAGCGCAACCCUCGUCCCUAGUUACCAGCGGGAUGUCAAGUAUCAUGGCCCUUACGUCCAGGCGACAUACAUGGCCGGUACAAGCGUCGCCAACCCGCGAGGGUGCGCUUCGCCAAAAGCCGGUCUAAGUUCGGAUUGUAGUGCAACUCGACUGCAUGAAGCCGGAAUCGCUAGUAAUCGGGAUCAGCCACGCCACGGUGAAUACGUUCCCGGGCCUUGUACACACCGCCGUCACGCCAUGGAAGCUGGGGGGACCUGAAGUCGGUGGGCUAACCCGCAAGGAAGGCAGCCGCCGAAGU
rnacentral:rRNA from 1 species